GAGCUGAAGAGAUACUUAGAGCAUAGUAGAUGCGCAUGUUCCAGCACUUUCAUGUACCUGGAUUGAUAUACACAAUCCUGUUGAAGCAUCUAGCACAUUUCAUUGCAAGUCUCCUCAUUAUGAUUUGUGAACAUCUUCAUGGAUGGAAACAGGCGUGCCUUCUCCCUGCCUGGCCAAGGCAGCAACCAGCGAUGCUGCUGCAGACCAGAACAAAGAAGCCAGGCUACCUACAGGGGGACGCAUGUGAGAAGAGCGAUGUUUGGGAAGAUGAGGCAUAACACAGGGCAAGCACGUUUGGGGACCA